rnacentral:rRNA from 1 species
AGUGAACGCUGGCGGUAGGCCUAACACAUGCAAGUCGAACGGCAGCACAGGAGAGCUUGCUCUCUGGGUGGCGAGUGGCGGACGGGUGAGGAAUACAUCGUAAUCUACUUUUUCGUGGGGGAUAACGUAGGGAAACUUACGCUAAUACCGCAUACGACCUACGGGUGAAAGCAGGGGAUCUUCUGACCUUGCGCGAUUGAAUGAGCCGAUGUCGGAUUAGCUAGUUGGCGGGGUAAAGGCCAACAAAGGAGACGAUCCGUAGCUGGUCUGAGAGGAUGAGCAGCCACACUGGAACUGAGACACGGUCCAGACUCCUACGGGAGGCAGCAGUGGGGAAUAUUGGACAAUGGGCGCAAGCCUGAUCCAGCCAUACCGCGUGGGUGAAGAAGGCCUUCGGGUUGUAAAGCCCUUUUGUUGGGAAAGAAAUCCAGCUGGUUAAUACCCGGUUGGGAUGACGGUACCCAAAGAAUAAGCACCGGCUAACUUCGUGCCAGCCGCCGCCGUAA